rnacentral:rRNA from 1 species
CUUUACUGUAACUUGAAAUUGAAAUUGGACUUUAUUCGCGCAGUAUAGGUGGGAGGCGUUGAUUAUAAUCUUGUGGGAUUAUUGGAGCCAUCAGUGAGAUACCACUCUUGUAAUGUUAGAUUUCUAACUUUGAAUCAUGAUCUGGUCAAAGAACAGUUUCAGGCGGGCAGUUUGACUGGGGCGGUCGCCUCCUAAACGGUAACGGAGGCGUACAAAGGUUUCCUCUGAACGGGUAGAAAUCGUAUCUAGAGUGUAAAGGCAUAAGGAAGCUUGACUGUGAGACCUACAAGUCGAGCAGGGACGAAAGUCGGUCUCAGUGAUCCCGCGGUUUAGCGUGGAAUUGCCGUUGCUCAAUGGAUAAAAGAUA